rnacentral:rRNA from 1 species
AGUGGCAGACGGGUGAGUAAUGUAUAGGAAUCUACCUAGUAGUACGGAAUAAUUGUUGGAAACGGCAACUAAUACCGUAUACGCCCUACGGGGGAAAGAUUUAUCGCUAUUAGAUGAGCCUAUAUUAGAUUAGCUAGUUGGUAAGGUAAUGGCUUACCAAGGCAAUGAUCUAUAGCUGAUCUGAGAGGAUGAUCAGCCACACUGGAACUGAGAUACGGUCCAGACUCCUACGGGAGGCAGCAGUGGGGAAUAUUGGACAAUGGGCGAAAGCCUGAUCCAGCCAUGCCGCAUGAGUGAAGAAGGCCUUUGGGUUGUAAAGCUCUUUCGGUGAGGAAGAUAAUGACGGUACUCACAGAAGAAGUCCUGGCUAACUCCGUGCCAGCAGCCGCGGUAAUACGGAGAGGGCUAGCGUUAUUCGGAAUUAUUGGGCGUAAAGAGCGCGUANGCUGGUUAGUAAGUUAAAAGUGAAAUCCCAAAGCUCAACUUUGGAAUUGCUUUUAAAACUGCUAACCUAGAGAUUGAAAGAGGAUAGAGGAAUUCCUAGUGUAGAGGUGAAAUCCGUAAAUAUUANGAGGAACACCAGUGGCNNA